rnacentral:misc_RNA from 1 species
GAUGAAGAACGUAGCGAAAUGCGAUACGUAAUGUGAAUUGCAGAAUUCAGUGAAUCAUCGAGUCUUUGAACGCACAUUGCGCCCCCUGGUAUUCCGGGGGGCAUGCCUGUCCGAGCGUCAUUGCUGCCCUCAAGCACGGCUUGUGUGUUGGGCCUCCGUCCUCCUCCCGGGGGACGGGCCCGAAAGGCAGCGGCGGCACCGCGUCCGGUCCUCGAGCGUAUGGGGCUUCGUCACCCGCUCUUGUAGGCCCGGCCGGCGCUUGCCGACACAUCAAUCUGUUUUCCAGGUUGACCUCGGAUCAGGUAGGGAUACCCGCUGAACUUAAGCAUAUCAAUAAGCGGAGGA